CGAACGCUGGCGGCAUGCCUAACACAUGCAAGUCGAACGAGACCUUCGGGUCUAGUGGCGCACUGGUGCGUAACGCGUGGGAACCUGCCCUUAGGUUCGGAAUAACUCCCCGUAAGGGGUGCUAAUACCGGAUAAUGUCUUUGGACCAAGGAUUUAUCGCCUUUGGAUGGGCCCGCGUUGGAUUAGCUAGUUGGUAGGGUAAAAGCCUACCAAGGCGACGAUUCAUAGCUGGUCUGAGAGGAUGAUCAGCCACACUGGGACUGAGACACGGCCCAGACUCCUACGGGAGGCAGCAGUGGGGAAUAUUGGACAAUGGGCGAAAGCCUGAUCCAGCAAUGCCGCGUGAGUGAUGAAGGCCUUAGGGUUGUAAAGCUCUUUUACCCGGGAUGAUAAUGACAGUACCGGGAGAAUAAGCACCGGCUAACUCCGUG
rnacentral:rRNA from 1 species